GAAAAAUUGGUGGAUUUCAAGUAAUCAAGUAAUCAAAGGUGGUGAGCCCUCUAACAAGGGUAAAGACAUUGUGUCAGAGGAUUGAGAAUAGGAGUAAUUCAAACUCUUGAUACACUUGCUGCAGUGACCGGGUUUUCUGUGG